ACUUUGGCUGUCUUUACAGCCACUAACAAAAAUAUAAAAGGUAUAU
rfam:Phalacrocorax carbo contig4936, whole genome shotgun sequence.